GCCCCGGCCGUGAGGGGAGCGCUGCGGUGAGCCCCGGGACCGGCCGGGCCCCGGCUGUGCAGGGUGUCCCGGUGCGCUGCGGUGCCAGGGGCUGUGAGAUACCAUGGCAGUAGCACACACAACAGCCAGCCCGCUGCUCCGGAGGGAAUGACAGCUUCCGAGCCAUCCAGCAGGGACUGAGGGUCCCUCCUACACACAGAGGCAGUCCUGCUCCACCGGGAAGCCAAAGAGCUGAACCUCAAGUCAAAAUUAAAGAGCUCAGGUGCUGAAUCAGGACCUUAUUAAAAGUGAGCAGGCAUCUUCAGCUGCUAUUUCUGCUGCCCUGUCAUUGUGGUUUUAUCUACUGCCAGUCUUUGACUAUCUCAAGUAACCAAGCAUCAGCACUGGUGACAGAUGAUCAGGAAUUAGAGGGCUUCUUUCCAGCGGCUUUACAGGAUACAGAAGAACUGUAGGAGGGUUUUCAGCUUCAGAGCCACAGCUGGACUGCAGCCAAGUAAUGGCAAGUGAGAUUGUUCCUACCCUGAGAAGAAAAAGUGUGCAGAGCCUGUGCAGUCACUCAUUAGUGUGUGUCUCUUGCUGACACAAACCAGGGCAUGCAGGCACUUUUCAAGUACACCAAGAGAAACCCUUCUCUUGCAGUCACCAAAAAUGCCAUGCCUUUUUGCAACUGGUGAUGCAAGCAAAGCUCACCUGUGAAAGGACCACUAGAAUUAAGACCUAAAAACUGAAGCAAUACAAUUUUUGUUCUCCUCUUUUA